rnacentral:lncRNA from 1 species
UUCGAAUUAAUAUGAUAACAAUGAUGUUACGUUAAAAAAAUGUAGAUGAAUGAACUUUGAAAAGGAGUUGAGAGUUGAAAGAGCAAAGUAGUCACAAACCGUGAAAAGAUAGAGGGGCUUGGGGGAACUAUGAGGACGAGGGCAAAAGAGAAAUUAGGGAUUGAAGAGGGAAUGGGAAAGGGAAAAAAUUGGUUCUUGAGUGAAAUUUAGGUGUACUGAAGGAAGUGAAACUGGAAAUUUUGGAAAAAAAAGGGAGAAAAUUUUGGAAAAUCUAAGGGUAAAAAGAAGUUUGAAGGACAAACCUAAAAAAACGUUAUAUAUGGUAAUAGAAUAGAUAGCGUUUUUUUUUUUAAAAGUGUUAUCUAUUGAUUUAUUUUAAAUUAUAAAUUAAAAAAAUUAUAUUAAUUAUCUA